GACGAACGCUGGCGGCGUGCUCAACACAUGCAAGUCGAACGAUGAAGCCGGAGCUUGCUCUGGUGAAUUAGUGGCGAACGGGUGAGUAACACGUGAGUAACCUGCCCUUGACUCUGGGAUAACUGCUAGAAAUGGUAGCUAAUACCGGAUACGACCCUCGGAGGCAUCUCCAAGGGGUGGAAAGAAUUUCGGUCAAGGAUGGACUCGCGGCCUAUCAGCUAGUUGGUGAGGUAACGGCUCACCAAGGCGACGACGGGUAGCCGGCCUGAGAGGGUGACCGGCCACACUGGGACUGGGACACGGCCCAGACUCCUACGGGAGGCAGCAGUGGGGAAUAUUGCACAAUGGGCGCAAGCCUGAUGCAGCAACGCCGCGUGAGGGAUGACGGCCUUCGGGUUGUAAACCUCUUUUAGUAGGGAAAAAGCGAAAGUGACGGUAGGUGCAGAAGAAGGACCGGCCAACUACGUGCCAGCAGCCGCCGUAA
rnacentral:rRNA from 1 species